CCUACGGGAGACAGCAGUCGAGAAUCAUUCACAAUGGGGGAAACCCUGAUGGUGCGACGCCGCGUGGGGGAAUGAAGGUCUUCGGAUUGUAAACCCCUGUCAUGUGGGAGCAAAUUAAAAAGAUAGUACCACAAGAGGAAGAGACGGCUAACUCUGUGCCAGCAGCCGCGGUAAUACAGAGGUCUCAAGCGUUGUUCGGAAGCACUGGGCGUAAAGCGUGCGUAGGCUGUUUCGUAAGUCGUGUGUGAAAGGCGCGGGCUCAACCCGCGGACGGCACAUGAUACUGCGAGACUAGAGUAAGGGAGGGGGAACCGGAAUUCUCGGUGUAGCAGUGAAAUGCGUAGAUAUCGAGAGGAACACUCGUGGCGAAGGCGGGUUCCUGGACAUUAACUGACGCUGAGGCACGAAGGCCAGGGGAGCGAAAGGGAUUAGAUACCCCGGUAGUC
rnacentral:rRNA from 1 species